rnacentral:rRNA from 1 species
GAUGAACGCUGGCGGCGUGCCUAAUACAUGCAAGUCGAGCGAACAGACGAGGAGCUUGCUCCUCUGACGUUAGCGGCGGACGGGUGAGUAACACGUGGAUAACCUACCUAUAAGACUGGGAUAACUUCGGGAAACCGGAGCUAAUACCGGAUAAUAUAUUGAACCGCAUGGUUCAAUAGUGAAAGACGGUUUUGCUGUCACUUAUAGAUGGAUCCGCGCCGCAUUAGCUAGUUGGUAAGGUAACGGCUUACCAAGGCAACGAUGCGUAGCCGACCUGAGAGGGUGAUCGGCCACACUGGAACGGAGACACGGUCCAGACUCCUACGGGAGGCAGCAGUAGGGAAUCUUCCGCAAUGGGCGAGAGCUUGACGGAGCAACGCCGCGUGAGUGAUGAAGGUCUUCGGAUCGUAAAACUCUGUUAUUAGGGAAGAACAAAUGUGUAAGUAACUAUGCACGUCUUGACGGUACCUAAUCAGAAAGCCACGGCUAACUACGUG